rnacentral:rRNA from 1 species
UACGUGGGGGGCUAGCGUUGUUCGGAAUGACUGGGCGUAAAGGGCGCGUAGGCGGUCUGCUAAGUUGGAUGUGAAAACUCUGGGCUUAACCCAGAGCCUGCAUUCAAUACUGACAGGCUAGAGUUCUGGAGGGGAUAGCGGAAUUCCUGGUGUAGCGGUGAAAUGCGUAGAUAUCAGGAGGAACACCGGUGGCGAAGGCGGCUAUCUGGACAGAGUCUGACGCUGAGGCGCGAAAGCUAGGGGAGCAAACAGG